rnacentral:lncRNA from 1 species
UUCCGAUCUUGGAGCCACUGACUGAUGGCAAAGUGGUCCAGACUGAUGAGGCUGACAUGGGAAUGACCUAUUCAGAGCUGUCUGUGAUCGGCAGACUCAGGAAGAUCUCCAAGUGUGGCCCGUAUAGCAUGUUUUGCAAGCUCAUUAGUUCGUGGAAAGACACCUUCUCUCCCUCACAGGUGGCCACGAAAGUGAAACAUUUCUUUCGGAUGUACUCAAUCAAUAGACAUAAGAUGACAACGGUAACACCCUCUUAUCAUGCUGAUAGCUACGGUCCGGAUGACAACCGCUUUGACCUCCGUCCUUUCCUUUACAACACGCGGUGGAGCUGGCAAUUCCGCUGCAUCGACAAUGAGGUAGCUAAGAUGGAGUGAUAUGGAGGACAUCUACACAUGUAAAAGCUAUCAGAAUCAACUUAUCCUCGGUCCAAAGAUUAACCUCAGCCACUGAUGUAAUUGUGGACACUUGCUUCUCAACAUUCUUUCAGUCAGACUGUCAACGCACUGUAUCUUUCUCUAAAUUAUCAAUAGUGUUCUUCUUAGGAUGUGUAAAUCCUAAUGUCUUUAGCUACAGUAUGUAUGUUCGAAUUACAAUGCAAAUGAUGAUGUUUAUGAUUAUUAAUAUAGUAUUUGAUAAUGAUAGUUGUUUGAAAAUGAAUAGAGGUGAAAAUAGUACAUAUGGUAGAGACAUAAUCUGUGAUACUGUAAUUACAAUUUUCCUUGUGCAACUCGCCAAUAAACAACAUCAGAUCAGCUGAAUCUAUUUUACCAAGAUCAUGUCAGUGCAGUCUCAAUGAUCACUGGGUCAUUCCUGUUGCUGGAUCUCUUGAACUUUGUUACUUGUAAAAAUGAACAUUCUAUAUAAGACAUUUCGCUAUAAAAAGAGUUAGUGUACUCGUGUAUAUAUAAGGAUUAUAUUUUAAUGUAGCAUACUUAUUGCAAAUAUGUUUUUGUAAAGUUCAGGUAUGCUAUUUAAAUUGUUAUUAGAUUAUCUGCGGAGGAGCAAUAAUUCAUGAUUAAAGAUUAAAGAUUUCUCUCUCACACACACACAUGCAUAUACAGUUGAAGUCGGAAUUAUUAGCCCUUAGAUUUUUUUUUUUUCCCUUUUUAAAUAUUUCCCAAAUGAUGUUUAACAGAGCAAGAACAUUUUCACAGUAUAUCUGAUAAUAUUUUUUCUUCUGGAGAAAGUCUUAUUUGUUAUAUUUUGGCUAAAAACAGAUUUAAAUUUUGAAAAAGCUAUUUUAAGGACAUAAUUAUUAGCUCCUUAAGCUAUAUAUAUUUCUUGAUAGUCUACAGAACAAACCACUGUUAUGCAAUCACUUCCCUAAUUGCCCUAACCUGCCUGGUUAAACCCAAUUAACCUAAUUAAGCCUUUAAAGGUCACUUUAAGCUGUAUAGAAGUGUCUUGAAAAAUAUCUAGUCAAAUAUUAUUUACUGUCAUCAUGGCAAAGAUAAAAUAAAUCAGUUAUUAGAGAUGAGUUAUUAAAACUGUUAUGUUUAGAAAUGUUGAAGUCUCUCAGUUAAACAGAAAUUGAGGAAAAAAAAUAAACAGGGGGGCAAAUAAUUCUGACUUCAACUGUAUAAAACCCCUUUGACUGCCACUCUACCAAACGGUUGACCAUGUUUUGACUGUUUUAAAUAAUGACUGUUAAAGUAUUUUAAAGAAUGACUGUUUUAAAUAAUGUCUUACACACAGCAUUGUUGGUUUACAAAAAAAUCAAGCACACAUAAUCUUGUUGCAAUACUACACUUGAUUUUGGUUUUACUGUAAAUCAACAACACCAAGAAAACAUGUUAAAUGAGAAUCUGAAAUAUUUUACGGCAUACUUUUAAAAAUAAAGGUGAUUUAGUAUUCAAAUUUAUUUUAUUUAGAAUAUUAAAAAAAAAAAAAUUGGUCUUACACUUUAUAAUUUUUAUUUUUCAUUUGUAUUAAUUUCGGUACUUUUACCAUACACCAACAAAUCAACCAUUUGGUAGAGGUUGAUAUUUUAGAAAUUAUGGAAUGCGUUGGAAAAAAAAAUGCAUUGAGUGUGUUAAGUAGCGAGAUUAGGAGUUAAAAAAAUGCAAUCCAAUUUUUUUUUCUUGGUAAGGUAGUUAAAAUGUUAAUUACUGUAUAUUACGUAAAUAUACAUAUGUAUAUU